CACCGUGCUGGCUUUACAACAGUAUGGCAGCCUUGGUGACGUCGGUGCAUACUCCCUGCGCCCUUUGCACUAUAACCAUUGUGCAGGAUCUUUUUCAUAAAUAUGUUUAGUUGGAAUAUUGCCAGUUCUGUUAACCAUAAAUUAACAUAAACUUCAGCAACAGAAUACAGCAUUGAAACUCUGCGCCACCAUAGCACGUUGCAAUAUUGGAUCUCAUUUUAUUUGGUACAGCCCUAUUCAUUGAGCAUUGUACUUCUUUGCUUCGGAGCUUCUUUUCAUUCUGACAAGCUCAAAAUUUUUUUUUAUCUCUACCCAUAUAAGCAUCUCUUAUUCUAAGACAUUGUAAGUGAAGGAAGCGCUUGACAUUCGCUUUCAUUUUUUCAUGUUUAUGUAGACGCAGUCUUGAUUCGUAAUUGGCGUGAUGCACUAGUGACCUGCCUCGCAUUUCUCAUGCAGGACGCCGUGGCCGGCCGCCAACCGUCAAGUAUCAGGCAUCGCUUCAGGGGCGCCUUUACCACUGCCACCAAUGUGAUUAUGCAACCCACAAACCAUGCAACCUUGUAGCACACAACCGCAUUCACACAGGCGAGCGGCCGUUUCACUGCCACCUAUGCCCCCAGAGCUUUGCACACAAAUGCCAGCUCACGAUACACGUGCGCCUGCACAAAGGCGAGCGACCGUACCACUGCCCCGUCUGCCCCUUGACCUUUCUGCAGGCCAGUCAAAUGAAAUGUCACUUGAAGAGGCGUCAUCGUGAUGCGACACAGUGAGACAAUGUGUGUUGCUAGUUGGUGCUGCACGACUACGAAUGGUACAGUGCGAUUUCGGACACAAGACAACAGAAAGUCAAUAGAACACAACAGAAGACAACAGUACAACCCUUCGACUGAAGUUCGAUAAUGACGUGGGGGGGGUUAUGUACAAAUUGGCACAAGCAAAGCCAAUACCCAAACUUGUGUGCGCCCUUGGUAGUUGCAGUUCAUGUACAGCAAUAGCUGGGGUAUGCAGGUGCCUUUUCGUGAUCCUUUUCAAGUAUUUAAGAGACAUUAGGGAAACCUUUAGCAGUGGUGUGUAGGCCUUAAGCAAAUCCACCCAAUGUGAUGUGUAUGCCUGGUUUGACAAGGUAUCAAGAGCUGGAUUUACUGGAUUACCUGACCAAACAUGAUGCCAUGACCAGUGUCACAAAAGUGCCAAUGUUUCUCUCUGAAGAGGAGAUUCAAGAUUCCAGAGGAUAUUCAAAGCAUCACCAAUGCACUACUGUUGUGUUGUGUGGUGAGCAGUUUGGACCGUUGUGUGCUUUCCUGGAGAGGCACCACCCUGCAUCAAGAUUCGCUGACACCUCCUCGCCCCAUGGGGUCAUGCCACACAGACAGGAAAAAAGGGUCUGGACUGCACAGCGCAAAAAAGGCGCCAGCCAUCACCUCCAGGGCCCCCCUACUACUGCCACCAUUGUGAUUAUGUGGCUGACAGACCGUCGUCUUUAGUCAGGCACCGGGUCAUCCACACAGGCGAACGACCAUUCCAGUGCCACAUCUGCACUCGGAGUUUCUCGCAGAAGGCCCACCUCAAGUCACACAUGUGCACGCACACAGGCGAGCGACCUCUCCGCUGCUCUGUCUGUUCCAUGUCCUUUGUGCACUUUGUUCAACGGAGCAGACAUAUGAGAAAGCAUCAUCGUCACCAGGAUACCGCACAGUGAAGUAGAUCAUCGCCACUUUUCAAAUGGAUCUGAAAGAGGGACCUAAUGACAGGCCCAAGUGUGCAUGAAAGUGUCAAGACGUCAUCGUACACCAAGUAGGUGAAGUACCACUGCAUGCUGUUGUUCAUCAUAAUGCUAAGGCACCUCGCAGGACAGUGAAACUUGAUUGAUCAAGGUGUUCUGUCAUGUUGGGACGUUGAAUUUCUGCUGCCAUCAGAUGUUGGGUAUGUUGAAGUAUGAUGGAUGUUGUGUUUAAAAACAUGUUCACAUUUGUAGGACCAGGUCAUGUUGCCUGCAAGUGAAUACAGUGUCACUAUUCAGUAGAAUGAGCCACACUGUAGAAUGAGCCACAUCCACUAAUCACUUUUUUUUUUUUCAAGCUGCCUUGCAUGUUCAUUGUUGUUAAUAAUCUUGGCCAUCCUUAUUUUGUGACAAGGACCGCUUGUAGUUGGUAAAUCUUGCUGUAUUUAUCCGUUCCAUGCACUGUUCCUUUAAUAAAGGCCUUUCUGCAGCUAGGAUAUAUUGAGUACUUGUCAGCAUAAAUUUGCUCACAAUUGUAUGAUUGCUGCUGUCAAAGUUGCUGUCGCCAUGAAUGAUAAGGGACUCUUCUUGACUUGAGACAUCCCUUUAAGUUGAAGAUUGUCCUUGCAACUUCCCCUCAUAGAUUUCAUAGUUUUCAUAUAGGUUACUGCUGCACAAGUUGGUCGUGUUUUUUGCAGCAGCUUUUUUUGUAAAUGAAGACACUAGUUCCAUUUCUUAUGGCAAUGCACUCCAUUAAUUACCUGUAUUUUUUGUACAGUAGACUACUGGUAAUUCGACUUCGGUUAAUUAUUUUUUGUUUAAUUCAAUCCCGACCAAAGGUCCAUGCCAUUGCCGGUACAUUUCUGUGGGCCAAGACUCUCGUGGUUUCAAUCCUAAAAUCAGCCCUUGCCAGAUAAUAAGAACUUAAGUAUGCUGACCCCAAUAGGGACUCCAGUUGUGAUUUAAGGAUUGAGCAUGGGUCUUUGCAGCACUAGCGGAAGUGAAUGCAUCGAACCCAAAUUAUCUUUAAAAAAAAAAAACUUAUUUUUGGCCUGCCCUCAGCAUAUUUUCAAGUGAAAUUGGCAGCUAACAAUGAAUGGUUAUGGGGGGGGGGGGGGGGGGGGGUAUUUAUCCAGUUAUAAUGCGUACCUUUUUCCCAGGAAAAUGGGUUUGAAGAGGGUCUGUGUGUUACUUGGAUAUAAACACUAAAACAUGUUUGUGGCAUUGACAUUAACUUAAUGUCGGCACCUGUUAUCAUUGCCAUUGUCAUCCCAUUGACAGCACAAGAUGACGAUGGAGCAAGUUUUUGUGCACUUUGGUAAAGAUGACAUGCUGCUUGCAUUACAAGAGCUCAUUCAAAAGAGAAAUAUUUGUACAUGCUAACCUAAUGGCAACAGAGCAUGCCCUCACAAUGUCGGAGCCUUGCCUGCAUGAAGGGUGAAGUUAUAAAAUUGUUAGUCAAGGAAGUGGGCCUACUUCCCAUUCUCAAUGCUUGCGAAGGCUGUCAAGAAAUGCAGAAUAUCAGAUGCAGUGGACUGCACGGGGGAUGAUGUUGUGGCCCAUAGUAGUGUUAAAAGCUUGCUGUCUGAGAGUGACAGUGAUGGACAUUAAGUGUAAAUAAAUUUCCAUCAUGUGAAGGGAAGUUCUGUCGCUUCCAUUUUUUUCUGAUUGCCAUAAUUGCACGCUUGCUACAUUUUUAUUGUGAUAGCAAUUGCAUGGAUACUUCAAGCGAAUUUUUGUCAUCAUCAUUGCUGACGCAACGCUUCCUCACACGUGUCUCCCCCUCGAGCCCUGCUGUGCAACACCGUGCCCUCUCUUGGAAGUAAUUUCUGGUGGGGCCAAAGGCUGGUGGCUACGUGUACGCUGUCUUUGUGUGCACCUAGUGCUGGAGGUUGCGUAAUCCCAAGUUUUGGAGAUCGUGUUGACGGGAGAGGCAGCAGAAGCAUUCACUCCCUUAGGUUUGCGCUCUUCACCAUGAUAGCGUUAUGACAGCGUGUGUGUGCGGUCAUCGAGUGAGAUCGAUUCCUGUUUGCUUGUAUGGGCACAACACCAAGCUUACUAAUUUAAUUAAUAAGCGAAUGUUUACUGCAGUUAAAUGGCUGAUAAAACUACGAACCUUACAUCGUGCAUUCGUGUAAUAGUUUGCUAUUGCAAUGAAUGCUUCACCCUUCAGGUGAAGUGCGACAUUUCUUGUUAUUCUAGGUUUGGGGAAGCAGUAGAAUCAGGUAAAUACUGCCAAUAAUGUUGUGUUAUGUUCUGAUUUAAAUUUUCUGAACAUUCUUUUCAUUCAGCCGGCCGGAUAUGAUUAAUGCCGUCAGUCACGUCGAGGUCAAAUAAAUAGAAGUUAACUGUAUAUCUGUAGCUGAAUCCAUGUAACAUUUUAGCCAUAAUUAUUUGUGGCCAUAUUUUUUUUUUCAACUCUGAUAAUUAGUUUUAUUGGAUGCUAAGGAAAACUGUAAAAGGGUACCAUGCUGAAGUAAGGUAAUAGCUGCCGUGUAAUAAACGUGUGAUUGGUACCAAAGUAAUGACCAGGAGGGUAAUACAGUUAAACCUCGAUACCAUAAUUUUAAUAGUUGACCCUUUUCGCAGAGUAGCUUGUUCUCGAAAAAUGAGAUGGCUCUUUCGACGACAUGCUGCACGUUCCCUCAGCGAAAGCACAUGUAUACGAAACCAUUACCGCUUGUGCCCUGUUUCCGCGCGAACAGCUGUCGGAAAUGCCACUCGGUUUUCGCUCACGCACUGUGCUCCGUUCAUGCUGCAAAAUGAUGGAGUGGUGGAUUAAAGACGUGUGCAGUAGUUGGCUGCAAAAAUAGUCACUGGCAUAUU
rnacentral:lncRNA from 1 species